GCACUCUCCUGGGCAAUUCUGUUUCAGAGCUAUGCUGGAAACAGCAUAGCAAGUUGAAAUAAGGCUAGUCCGUUAUCAACUUGAAAAAGUGGCACCGAGUCGGUGCUUUUUUU
rnacentral:sRNA from 1 species